rnacentral:rRNA from 1 species
UACGGGGGGGGCAAGCGUUGUUCGGAAUUACUGGGCGUAAAGGGCUCGUAGGCGGCCAACUAAGUCGGAUGUGAAAUCCCCAGGCUUAACCUGGGAACUGCAUCCGAUACUGGAUGGCUUGAAUCCGGGAGAGGGAUGCAGAAUUCCAGGUGUAGCGGUGAAAUGCGUAGAUAUCUGGAGGAAUACCGGUGGCGAAGGCGGCAUCCUGGACCGGCAUUGACGCUGAUGAGCGAAAGCUAGGGGAGCAAACAGGG